GAGUUUGAUCCUGGCUCAGGAUGAACGCUGGCGGCGUGCUUAACACAUGCAAGUCGAACGGGAGGAAGGAAAGCUUGCUUUCCUGAAUCUAGUGGCGAACGGGUGAGUAACACGUAGGUAACCUGCCCAUGUGCCCGGGAUAACUUCUGGAAACGGAUGCUAAAACCGGAUAGGUAGCAGACAAGCAUUUGACUGCUAUUAAAGUGGCUUUGGCCAUGAACAUGGAUGGACCUGCGGUGCAUUAGCUGGUUGGUGAGGUAACGGCCCACCAAGGCGACGAUGCAUAGCCGGCCUGAGAGGGCGGACGGCCACAUUGGGACUGAGACACGGCCCAAACUCCUACGGGAGGCAGCAGUAGGGAAUUUUCGUCAAUGGGGGGAACCCUGAACGAGCAAUGCCGCGUGAGUGAGGAAGGUCUUCGGAUCGUAAAGCUCUGUUGUAAGAGAAAAACGGCACUCAUAGGGAAUGAUGAGUGAGUGAUGGUAUCUUACCAGAAAGUCACGGCUAACUACGUGCCAGCAGCCGCGGUAAUAC
rnacentral:rRNA from 1 species